GCUAAACACGUGUACGUGACCAAUAACAUUUUAUUUGAUUAUAAGGGAAUCAGUCAAUUUAAAUAAAUGCAUUAGGCCCUAAUCUAUUGAUUUCACAUGGCUGGGCAGGGGUGCAGCCAUGGGUAGGCUUGGGGAGCCAGGCCCAGCUAAUCAGAAUGAGUUUUUCCCACAAAAAGGGCUUUAUGAUAAACAGAAAUACUCCUCAGUUUCAUCAGCUGUCUGGGUGACUGGUCUCAGACAAUCCUGCAGGUGAAGUAGCUGGAUGAGGAGGUCCAGGGCUGGAGUGGUUACACGUGAACUGCAGUUGUGAGGCCGGUUGGACAUCCUGCAAAAUUCUCUAACAUUAUUAAUAUUAAAUUCUCUGGCAACAGCUCUGGUAGGCAUUCUUGCAGUCAGCAUGCCAAUUGCACACUCCCUCAAAACUUGAGACAUCUGUGGUAUUGGGUUGUAUGACAAAACUGCACAUUUAUUGUCUGCAGCACAAGGUGCACCUGUGUAAUGAUCAUGCUGUUUAAUCAGCUUCUUGAUAUGCCACACCUGUCAAGUGGAUGCGUUAACUUGGCAAAGGAUAAAUGCUCACUUACAUGGAUGUAAACAAAUUAGUGCACAAAAUUUGAGCAAAAUAAGCUUUUGGUGCGUAUGGAACUUUUUAAAAUAUAUUUUAUUUCAGUUCAUGAAAUGGGACCAACACUUUACAUGUUGGGUUUAUAUAUUUUUUUCAGUAUAGGUAGGUCGUGAAUGGUCUCUCUCCAGUACAGUAGGUGGCAGUGUAUGCUCCGCCAAAGCAAUCCAAAAGAAGAAGUAUUUUUGUCCUCGUCUGGGGCGGCAAACGAGCGAAGUGGAGCUCCUUUUUAAAAACUUUUGUUCAAACCUUACAUGUUGCUGUGUAUUGACUAAAGGAGAUGAUUCGCAUGGAUGGAAAUGACCGAAACCAAUGUGGUUCAGCAUAUCUCAACGAGUCCGGUGUCCUUGAAGUCGAGAUGCAUGCUGACAAAGUGUGUCGGCAUCGCAUCGUGUCCGAUGUCCUUGAUGAACUCACAUGAUGGGGCGUCUAUUGAGACCAGAUACAUGACGACAAUGAAGGGGCAAAGCAUAGAAAUAUAUUGACAGAUUCUAUUUCUGUUAGAAAUAGAUCCCUCUCACCGCUGCUGUAAUUAGCCUACCUGGUAAGUAGGCUAUAUUGGCUUGGCCUAUAGUCUAUCUGUCCCAAAUGACUCCCUAUUUGAUGCAGUGCUUUUGACCUGGGCCCAUAUAGCUCUGGUCAUAAGUGAACUACAUGGGGAAUGAUGUGGUGUUCUGGAUGUGCAUGCUUUUGAUAAUCUGGUCUUGGGCAGGUGCUGCAGUGUAGCUGUCGUGGCCGUAUGCUGCAGCGUGCCUUGUUGGACCUAGACUAUAACAGAGGGGGUUCUGUGAAGCCUUCCCUGGCAGUUGCAGGUGUGAGCAUGUAUACAGCAGUUUGAUGCUCUUGUAUGAUACUGCACACAUGUCUUUAGAAAACAGAUUUAUCCCUUCCUUAUAUAUUUUAUGGUGGUUAAAUGAGGUUGGUUUAUUGUGCAACUCCUAUCCUGUUUCCUCAUUGCAUGUGUCAUGCUUCGUAGGCUACGCCCACCAUUUUCAACAUCUUGUAUGAAGAUUUGUCAAUUACAUAAGGGAUCAUCAAGGGGCUAUGUGUUCUGUGGAAGGUGAGGCGCUAGCGGAGUGGAACUUACCUCCCAGGGAGUUGAAUAAUUUUCCAGCGAACACAGAACCCCCGCG
rnacentral:lncRNA from 1 species